UUAAGACGAGGAUAACCGUUGGAAACGAUGGCUAAGACUGGAUAGGAUGAUUGAAGGCAUCUUCGAUCAUUUAAAAGACCUAGCAAUAGGUAUGCUUAAGGAGGGGCCUGCGGCGCAUUAGUUAGUUGGUGAGGUGAUGGCUUACCAAGACGAUGAUGCGUAGCCGGACUGAGAGGUUGAACGGCCACAUUGGGACUGAGAAACGGCCCAAACUCCUACGGGAGGCAGCAGUAGGGAAUUUUCAGCAAUGGGGGAAACCCUGACCGAGCAACGCCGCGUGAAUGACGAAGUACUUCGGUAUGUAAAGUUCUUUUAUCAGGGAAGAAUGGCUAGCGGAAAAGCUAGAUUGACGGUACCUGAUGAAUAAGCCCCGGCUAACUAUGUGCCAGCAGCCGCGGUAAUACAUAGGGGGCAAGCGUUAUCCGGAAUUAUUGGGCGUAAAGGGUGCGUAGGUGGUUAAUUAAGUCUUUGGUAUAAGUGCAGUGCUUAACGCUGUGAUGCUAA
rnacentral:rRNA from 1 species